rnacentral:lncRNA from 1 species
CCUUCAUUGUUCGUGCUCUGGCUAUACAUACAUGCUCUCACACACGUGUACAUGUACAACAUGUAUAAUUAUAUAGCUUAUAUAUUUACACAUGCACAUAUAUUUACAUCUCUAUGCAAAUAUAGAUAUAGAUUCUUCUCUACUUACAGUGAGGUUAUAUCCUGAUAAACCUGUUAUCAGUUGAAAGUAUGAUAAGUUGAAAAUUCAUUUAAUACACUUAACCUACUGAACAUCAUAGCUUAGCCUAGUCUACCUUAAAGGUGCUCAGAACACUUACGUUAGACUGCAGCUGGGAAAAAGCAUUUAACACAAAGCCAAUUUUAUAAUAAAGUGUUGAGUAUCUCAUGGAGGUUGCAGUGAGCCAAGAUCAUGCCAUUGCACUACAGGUUGGGUGACAGACAAGAGCGAGACUUCGUCUCAGAAAAAAAAAAAAAAAGAAAGAAAAAAGAAAAAAGAAAUUAGAGCAGCUCCCAGAACGUAAUUAGUACUCAAUAAAUGAAUGAGCAAAUAGUUUGUAUCAUAAUGAAAACAUUAACUAAACCAAACUAAAAAAAUUAACAUGUCCUCCUAAAGCCAACAUGAAUCAAAAUCCAAUGUCACUUUCAAGUAAUAGUUGACUAUGUUGACAGCAUUAACCAUCAUGUGUGAGUCUUGAGGUGAUGUUAAAAAAUACUUGAUGGAGUAUGGCAUUGUCAGGUGCUUAGUGGAUUCUCUUCCCAAUAAGCAAUAAUCAAACUUGACCAAAUUGUCAAAAUAACCAUUUUAAAGAUCUGUCAAACAGCCAAAGAU